GAUGAACGCUGGCGGCGUGCCUAAUACAUGCAAGUCGAGCGAACGGACGAGAAGCUUGCUUCUCUGAUGUUAGCGGCGGACGGGUGAGUAACACGUGGAUAACCUACCUAUAAGACUGGGAUAACUUCGGGAAACCGGAGCUAAUACCGGAUAAUAUUUUGAACCGCAUGGUUCAAAAGUGAAAGACGGUCUUGCUGUCACUUAUAGAUGGAUCCGCGCUGCAUUAGCUAGUUGGUAAGGUAACGGCUUACCAAGGCAACGAUGCAUAGCCGACCUGAGAGGGUGAUCGGCCACACUGGAACUGAGACACGGUCCAGACUCCUACGGGAGGCAGCAGUAGGGAAUCUUCCGCAAUGGGCGAAAGCCUGACGGAGCAACGCCGCGUGAGUGAUGAAGGUCUUCGGAUCGUAAAACUCUGUUAUUAGGGAAGAACAUAUGUGUAAGUAACUGUGCACAUCUUGACGGUACCUAAUCAGAAAGCCACGGCUAACUACGUGCCAGCAGCCGCGGUAAUACGUAGGUGGCAAGCGUUAUCCGGAAUUAUUGGGCGUAAAGCGCGCGUAGGCGGUUUUUUAAGUCUGAUGUGAAAGCCCACGGCUCAACCGUGGAGGGUCAUUGGAAACUGGAAAACUUGAGUGCAGAAGAGGAAAGUGGAAUUCCAUGUGUAGCGGUGAAAUGCGCAGAGAUAUGGAGGAACACCAGUGGCGAAGGCGACUUUCUGGUCUGUAACUGACGCUGAUGUGCGAAAGCGUGGGGAUCAAACAGGAUUAGAUACCCUGGUAGUCCACGCCGUAAACGAUGAGUGCUAAGUGUUAGGGGGUUUCCGCCCCUUAGUGCUGCAGCUAACGCAUUAAGCACUCCGCCUGGGGAGUACGACCGCAAGGUUGAAACUCAAAGGAAUUGACGGGGACCCGCACAAGCGGUGGAGCAUGUGGUUUAAUUCGAAGCAACGCGAAGAACCUUACCAAAUCUUGACAUCCUUUGACAACUCUAGAGAUAGAGCCUUCCCCUUCGGGGGACAAAGUGACAGGUGGUGCAUGAUUGUCGUCAGCUCGUGUCGUGAGAUGUUGGGUUAAGUCCCGCAACGAGCGCAACCCUUAAGCUUAGUUGCCAUCAUUAAGUUGGGCACUCUAAGUUGACUGCCGGUGACAAACCGGAGGAAGGUGGGGAUGACGUCAAAUCAUCAUGCCCCUUAUGAUUUGGGCUACACACGUGCUACAAUGGACAAUACAAAGGGCAGCGAAACCGCGAGGUCAAGCAAAUCCCAUAAAGUUGUUCUCAGUUCGGAUUGUAGUCUGCAACUCGACUACAUGAAGCUGGAAUCGCUAGUAAUCGUAGAUCAGCAUGCUACGGUGAAUACGUUCCCGGGUCU
rnacentral:rRNA from 1 species